rnacentral:ncRNA from 1 species
GACGUUGAGUUUGUGCAUCGACUUUAGGCAGUUGAAUAAAGUCACGGUCAAGAACAAAUAUCCUCUGCCAAGGAUUGAUGAUCUUUUUGAUCAGUUAAGGGAUGCGAAAGUAUUUUUGAAAAUAGAUCUUCGAUCUGGGUAUCACCGAAAGUUGGGGGCUCGAAGACGAUCAGAUACCAUCCUAGUCUCAACCAUAAACGAUGUCGACCAGGGAUCGGUGGAUGUUGCUCUAAGGACUCCACCAGCACCUUCUGAGAAAUCAGAGUGUUUGGGUUCCAGGGGGAGUAUGGUCGCAAGGCUAAAACUUAAAGGAAUUGAUGGAAGGGCACCACCAGGAGUGGAGCCUGCGGCUUAAUUUGACUCAACACGGGAAAACUUACCAGGUC